UCCGGUUUGUCACCGGCAGUCUCGCAUGAGUCCCCAACUGAAUGCUGGCAACAUGCGACGGGGGUUGCGCUCGUUGCGGGACUUAACCCAACAUCUCACGACACGAGCUGACGACAGCCAUGCAGCACCUGUCUUGGGACUCCGAAGAGGAACCGAUGUUUCCACCGGCUUUCCCGUGCAUGUCAAGCCUAGGUAAGGUUCUGCGCGUUGCGUCGAAUUAAACCACAUGCUCCACCGCUUGUGCGGGCCCCCGUCAAUUCCUUUGAGUUUCAGCCUUGCGGCCGUACUCCCCAGGCGGGGCACUUCAUGCGUUAGCUACGGCACAGAGGGGGUCGACACCCCCCACACCUAGCAUCCACAGUUUAGGGCGUGGACUAC
rnacentral:misc_RNA from 1 species